CCUACGGGUGGCUGCAGUGGGGAAUAUUGGACAAUGGGGGCAACCCUGAUCCAGCCAUACCGCGUGUGUGAAGAAGGCCUUAGGGUUGUAAAGCACUUUCAGUGGGGAGGAAAAGUUGCCGGCGAAUACCCGGCGACCGUGACGCUACCUGCAGAAGAAGCACCGGCAAACUCCGUGCCAGCAGCCGCGGUAAUACGGAGGGUGCGAGCGUUAAUCGGAAUUACUGGGGGUAGUGUGGUCAGCGGGGUUUGAAAGCCCUGGGCUCAACCUGGGAACUGCAUCCAGAACUGCCAGGCUAGAGUAUGGUAGAGGACAGUGGAAUUUCCGGUGUAGCGGUGAAAUGCGUAGAGAUCGGAAGGAACACCAGUGGCGAAGGCGACUGUCUGGACCAAUACUGACGCUGAGGUGCGAAAGCGUGGGGAGCAAACAGGAUUAGAUACCCUAGUAGUC
rnacentral:rRNA from 1 species